AAAAAAAAGGAAACACCCAUGUCCGAUAACCCGGGGCUGUUUGAUUCCAUUGUGCACAGACAAGAGAAUGUCAUGGAGCUUUAAAGACCCAUGAGAAAAGCUCUUAUCCAUGUGAGGAAACAGUAAUUGUUUAAAGUUUAAAAAAUGUAUAUAGUGUAAAUUUGUUGUUAUAUAUCUGUUACAGAUAUAUUUUUUCCAGGUAAUUUUAGAAACAAAACAGAAGGAAUAUGCACUCAAGUACUGACAUAGAUUUCUUGGCGGUGGCAUUUCUCUUCUCUCUUUAAUUUUGCUCUCCAGUUUUAUCUACUUUUUAUUCUAAAAUUAACACAGCACAUGUAAUUUGAAAAAUAAAGACAGUCAUUCGGAUGUUCACAUGAGCAAUACCCUUGGUCACGAGGAGCCCACGUGCUGAUGAACGCCAGGUGCGGCCUGGAGAAGAAGGCAGACCUGUUCCAAGGUCAACGGGGAAGGGAAAUGGGGACACAAGUAACCCAAAUGCACUUCGUGGGCAGAAGAGCUCCGGAGCUGCUGUUUCUCCGUAUUUCUCCCACCUAACAUCAGCUCUACAGCCCCGACACACAUCCACACACCCCACACACCCCACACGCACCCCCAUACCACACCACACCCACACAUCCACACGCCCCCUCACCCACUCACCUACACACAUCCACACCCCCACACACCCCCCCACACACCCACAUACAUCCUCACACCCACACCCACAUACCCACACACCUGAAAGGGCGACAACACAUGUAAUCCAGGCGGUGACCCUGCUCGGGGGACGGAUGCAGAGGGCUGGGCGAGGCGGGCUAACCAGCCGCAGAGGCGGAAGCGCACAAUGCAAACCGGCCUCUCACUUCUCAAAACUGAUUUUGUUGUUCCCAUUUCGCUGAUGACAAAGGGGAGGCCACAUCAGUUAUAACAAAAGCCCACUCUGGGCUCGGACCCUGGUCUGUGUGCCCCCGGGGCUCCUGUCCUGCCUUUCCCCAGCUCCAGUUGGGGCACUGCGGUCAGAGCCAGAGGUCACUACUGCUGCUUCAUCCUUGGACCCCCAGAUCCACCCUGCCUGGGUGCCCAUGCAGACUUGGCGAACUCUUCAGGCACACCUGAGAUGAAAGCUGUUAGGUUUUACCUUGACUCACCGAAACAGACACAUCUCACAAAUACUGAGAAAUCCUAUAGGUUCAGGAUUCUAAAGUCAGAGCAUUGAGGUACA
rnacentral:lncRNA from 10 species